CACUAGUAGAAACAUCCUCUCCACAUCCACUCUAUCCAGGCCUUUCACUAUUCGGUAAGUUUCAAUGAGGUCCCCCCUCAUUGAAACAUAAUGAGUUCAUCAUCCUCAUACUCCACGAUACAUAACACUCAAGUUUAAAUCUUCCCCAUAACAACCUGGACAACUUCAGUCUCUGUGGAGACAUUAUCCUGAGUCUAUUGAAAGGCACGUUACAUGCAAGUUUACAGUGGCCUUGGAAUCAUUUUGCAGUUUUGAGCCCAUGCCCGUAAAGAUGUGCACCCCAUAUCCCGGGCCUAGAAUCUGGGAGCCCAGCGUGCUGGAGUAACUCAGCGGGUCAGGCAGCAUCUGUGGAGAACAUGGAUAGGUGACGUUUCUCAUCAGAAUACGGUGCCAGGGAUGACACACUGCCUGCUUUUAUUCAGGAAAUAUUACUUAUUCCAAGUGAACAUCUUCAAUGAGAAACAAUCUUCAACAAAACACAAUCUAUGAAGGCAAUAAACUACCAAGUAUGUUGAAACAAAGAACUGCAGAUAGACACAAAGUGCAGGAGUAACUCAGCGGGUCAUGCAGCAUCUCUGGAGAAUAAGUUACUCCAGGACUUUGUGUCUAUCUUUGGUAGCUACUACACAUGCAUGACCUCAGUACACGGGUACACACGCGUGUACCAUCACUUCACACAUGCCCAUUGUUCCUGCCAAUAGCUGCAAUAUUUUGCAGCCUCUUGUGCUCAGACAAUCUAUCCAGGGUCAAUGAUCAGAGUGCGGUGUCAGGGCUGACGCAAUACCCACCUUAAUUCACCAAUAUUACUUACACUAAGUAAACAUCUUUAUUGAGAAACAUCCCACGACAAAACAGACGUAAUGUACGACCAUUGGAAUAUUGAAUGAAGAAGAUUGAAAGUUAUUGGACACGUACAGUCUGUGAAAAGACAAUGUUUGUCAUGAUUGUCACUACUGAAAUUUGUUGUGGAUUUAUGUGCAUUUUUUUUGGCUUUAAAAUAACUUUUGUUAUUGUAUUGGUAAAAAGCAUUUGAAUUAAAAACAAAUAUUUUAAAGA